AACGAACGCUGGCGGCAGGCCUAACACAUGCAAGUCGAGCGAGGACUUCGGUUCUAGCGGCGGACGGGUGAGUAACGCGUGGGAAUGUGCCCUUCUCUACGGAAUAGCCCUGGGAAACUGGGAGUAAUACCGUAUACGCCCUAUUGGGGAAAGAUUUAUCGGAGAAGGAUCAGCCCGCGUUGGAUUAGGUAGUUGGUGGGGUAAUGGCCUACCAAGCCGACGAUCCAUAGCUGGUUGGAGAGGAUGAUCAGCCACACUGGGACUGAGACACGGCCCAGACUCCGACGGGAGGCAGCAGUGGGGAAUCUUAGACAAUGGGGGCAACCCUGAUCUAGCCAUGCCGCGUGAGUGAUGAAGGCCUUAGGGUUGUAAAGCUCUUUCAGCUGGGAAGAUAAUGACGGUACCAGCAGAAGAAGCCCCGGCUAACUCCGUG
rnacentral:rRNA from 1 species